CGCUAUGCAGCUGAUGACAGCACGGCUGCUGAGCCUCUGUGAUUGCGUAGUUUCAAAGUAUACGCUCCGAUGGACCAUGG
ensembl:snoRNA SNORD105B small nucleolar RNA, C/D box 105B